UGGCUCAGAACGAACGCUGGCGGCAGGCCUAACACAUGCAAGUCGAGCGGCCGUAGCAAUACGUCAGCGGCAGACGGGAGAGUAACACGUGGGAACGCGCCCUUCGGUCCGGGAUAACCCAGGGAAACUUGGGCUAAUACCGGAUACGCCCUUACGGGGAAAGAUUUAUUGCCGAAGGAACGGCCCGCGUCCGAUUAGCUAGUUGGUGAGGUAAUGGCUCACCAAGGCGACGAGGCGGUAGCUGGUCUGAGAGGAUGACCAGCCUCACUGGGACUGAGACACGGCCCAGACGGAUACGGGAGGCAGC
rnacentral:rRNA from 1 species